rnacentral:rRNA from 1 species
GACACGGUCCAAACUCCUACGGGAGGCAGCAGUGGGGAAUAUUGCACAAUGGGCGCAAGCCUGAUGCAGCGACGCCGCGUGAGGGAUGGAGGCCUUCGGGUUGUAAACCUCUUUUAUCGGGGAGCAAGCGAGAGUGAGUUUACCCGUUGAAUAAGCACCGGCUAACUACGUGCCAGCAGCCGCGGUAAUACGUAGGGUGCAAGCGUUAUCCGGAAUUAUUGGGCGUAAAGGGCUCGUAGGCGGUUCGUCGCGUCCGGUGUGAAAGUCCAUCGCUUAACGGUGGAUCCGCGCCGGGUACGGGCGGGCUUGAGUGCGGUAGGGGAGACUGGAAUUCCCGGUGUAACGGUGGAAUGUGUAGAUAUCGGGAAGAACACCAAUGGCGAAGGCAGGUCUCUGGGCCGUUACUGACGCUGAGGAGCGAAAGCGUGGGGAGCGAACAGGAUUAGAUACCCUGGUAGUCCACGCCGUAAACGGUGGAUGCUGGAUGUGGGGCCCGUUCCACGGGUUCCGUGUCGGAGCUAACGCGUUAAGCAUCCCGCCUGGGGAGUACGGCCGCAAGGCUAAAACUCAAAGAAAUUGACGGGGGCCCGCACAAGCGGCGGAGCAUGCGGAUUAAUUCGAUGCAACGCGAAGAACCUUACCUGGGCUUGACAUGUUCCCGACGGUCGUAGAGAUACGGCUUCCCUUCGGGGCGGGUUCACAGGUGGUGCAUGGUCGUCGUCAGCUCGUGUCGUGAGAUGUUGGGUUAAGUCCCGCAACGAGCGCAACCCUCGCCCCGUGUUGCCAGCGGAUUAUGCCGGGAACUCACGGGGGACCGCCGGGGUUAACUCGGAGGAAGGUGGGGAUGACGUCAGAUCAUCAUGCCCCUUACGUCCAGGGCUUCACGCAUGCUACAAUGGCCGGUACAACGGGAUGCGACGCGGCGACGCGGAGCGGAUCCCUGAAAACCGGUCUCAGUUCGGAUCGCAGUCUGCAACUCGACUGCGUGAAGGCGGAGUCGCUAGUAAUCGCGAAUCAGCAACGUCGCGGUGAAUGCGUUCCCGGGCCUUGUACACACCGCCCGUCAAGUCAUGAAAGUGGGCAGCACCCGAAGCCGGUGGCCUAACCCCUUGUGGGAUGGAGCCGUCUAAGGUGAGGCUCGUGAUUGGGACUAAGUCGUAACAAGGUAGCCGUACCGGAAGGUGCGGCUG